AAUUUUACCAGGUGAUUUUUGUAGUAGCUAUUGAGACUUACUGUGAAGUUUUCUUUAUUAAUAUGCUAAUUGAUGAAUUUUACUAAUGAUGAACAAAUUCAACCAAAUCUAGUUAAUCAUGUUUUGUAUUUUAAUACAUGGCUGAAUCAAAUUCAUAAAUACUUUAAUUAGAAUGUCUGAAUAUAUAUGACCAUAACUGAGACAGCCUUGAUGUUGAAUUGCUUGUCUUUUUACCAUUCUCUUUUGCUUUUUGCUUAUUCAUUUGGAUACUAUAAUUGCCCUGGCUUGAAUAUCAAGGUUAUGUUCAUUUCAUAGAAAGUAUAUUUCUUUUUAUGCCCUUGGAUAUUUUAGUAGUAUAAAAAUUAUCCAUUUAUUGAAGAUCUAAAUGAAGUUUAUUAAAGCUAUAUGAGCUUGGUGCUUUUUUUAAACAUAGAUGCCUAUAUUAUUUAUCUAUUACUAUGCAAGAAAUCUUCCCUAAACUUGAUGGCCUAAAUCAAAAAUAACCAAUUUUACUUCACUGAUUUUUAUUUGCGGAUCAGGAAUUUGUGAGCAGCUUAAGUAGGGGGUUCCAGCUCGAAGUCUUUCAUGAGGUUGCAGUUACAUACUGGCAAGGGCUGGAGAUAGUCAAGGCUUUAUUGGAGGUGCAGGAUCCACCUUUGACUUGUCUCACUAACAUGAUGCGCAAGAUGGUGCUGGUUGUUGGCCAUUGACUGUAUUCUUCUCCUCCUGGGCCUUCCACAGAAGGAUUCGAUUGUCCUCACAGCCUGGUGGCUGAUAUCCCCCAGAGAAAAAAAUAAAAGAGAGCAAGAUAGAAGAUGCAACUGCAACGUCUUUUAUUGACCUAGCUUUGGAAGUCACAUGCUGUCACUUCUAUUGGUCACACUGGGCCAACCCUGAUCUUCCCUGAUUCAGGAAGGGACUGGACAAGGGCAUGAUACAAGGAGGCAAGGAUUAUUUGAGACCAUCUUGUAGGCUGGCUUCCAUACGCUCUCUGAAACUUCUCCAUCAUUUAAUGAUUAUUGCUCUUGUUAGGUUUUACCUCUUUUGAAUCCCUUCAGUAGUUUAUAGUUUUCAGGAGAUCUACCCUGUCCUAUAGUUAAAUAUUCUACAAGAUUUUAUCAGAAAGUCCUUUCUCUCUCCAAGCAUACAUAAAAAAAAAAUUCCCUCUAAACUUUCAGAACUUUCAUGGUUUUAUUCUAAUUACAUUAUUUUUUCAAAAUUUAAAUAUUUGAUAUAAUUGGCUUGUAUCUUUUUUGUGUGUGUUAGAUAUGCAUUCAACUUCAUUUUUUUAUAGAUGGCUACUUAGUUGUUCCAAUACAGCUAAAUGAAUAAGUGCAUCUUUCUACAACUGAUAUUACCUAUAUCAUAUAUAAUAAAUUUUGAUAAGUAAUUGGUAUUAUUUCUAGUCUUUAUUAUUUUUGUCCAAUACACUAUUAAAUAACAAUAAUAAGCCCAGGAGUUUAAAACAAACUCCUUAGUUUUUCCCAUUGAAAAUUAUAUUGGUAUUUGGUCUCAGACAAACAUAACAAGGAAUUAUUUUUUUAUUUCUCUUAUUGAGAGUUUCCCUUUUAUUAUUUAGGAUAUUUGUUAAAUUUUGUCAUAGGUCUUUUCAUGAUUAUAUGUUACACAAUAAAUACUACUGGAUUUUCAAGAGUUGAACCAUCUAUAUUUUCAUGGGGGAAAACCUUCAGAGUUACAAAUUGCCAUUGGAUUCUGCUUGUUAAUAGUUAUUUAGUAUUGACAGUAAUUGAAAGACUAGCUUAUAUCUUUUUUUAGUAGGUGUCGUCAGAUAUAUAUUUUAUAUUUCCUUCAUAAAGAUAAUUUGGAAGUGCUUCUUAUUUUUCUCCUUUCCUCCCCCCAACCUCCUCCUCCUUCUCCUCCCCCGUCUUCUUUUUUUUCUACAGAAUAGUUUAAACAACAUUGAAUUAUCUACUUUUUAAAAAAAUUGGUAGCAUUCCCCUGUGCAAAAUCUGGCUCUGACACUUUCCUUGGGAGGAAAAACUGUUAAUUUUUUUUUUACAUUACACUUUCUCAUAUAAUCCAAGUAUGGGAUGGUGUGACAUAAGAAGAUAUAUAUUUGGUUCCUGUAAUCCCCCUUUCCUGGCAAUCACUGAAGGGAUACAUGUAUUUUUGUAUGCUAAUGAGAUGACUGGUACCUGGGGGUAAUUGAAGAGCCUUAGGGUGGUGGCUGGUUUCCAGGGGUACCAACUAUGUGUGGGAACCAAUCAGUACCUCUGACCUCCAGGAAAGAUGGACUAGAGAUUGACUUGAUUACCAGAACCCAGUGAUUCAGUCAAUUAUGCCUAUGUAAUAAGGCAUUUAUAAAAACCCAAAGCUCAGAGAGCUUUCCAUUUGCCAAACACGUGGAAAGGCUGGGAGGUUAAGCAUGCCUGGGGAGGGAUGGAAGCUCCACACCUUUCCAUCUGGCUUUUCCUGAGUUGUACCCUUUUUAUAAUAAACCGAGUAAACUAGAUUUUGUGAGUUCUGUGAAUAUUCUUGCAAAUUAUUAAAACUAAAGGAAUGGCUAUAGGAAUUUCCAGUUAACAGUUGAUUGGACAGAAGAACAGAUGCUAACUUGAACUUGGAAUUGGGAUCUAAAAUGGGGCAUUCUUGUAGUUCUGUGUCCUUUAUCUACUAAUUUCACAUAGAUAGGGUCAGAAUUGAAUCAAACACAUUUAGUGUCAGAACUGAAAUGGAGUGAGUAAUGUAAGUUGAAUAUAGCGCAAAUAAGAGUUGUCCUUUCAGAUGGGAUACAACACUGUGGGGCAUCAAACACAGGUGAUGGCUUGACGUCAUGUUCCAGAGUUAGAGGACUUGCUCAGACUUACUGACAUCUGCAGAGACAUUGCAAUGCUAAUUUAGAAAGGCAGAAUUAAUAAGAAGCAAAUAAGGAGAGCUUUGUGGUGUAAGAAGAAAACAAUAAUAUAAGAGAUAUCCAAUGGAAAUUUCCUAUGUUUCCAAGGAAAACAAUGAACAUUGCUACUUUAUUUUAAUUUAAAACUUCUUGGAAACAGCUGGUAACCUGCCUUCAUGGCCUACAUCUAUUGUAUUAUAAAAAUUUAAAUCAGCCACCAAAAUUAGCAUGAAUCAUAGACAGGACAAAGAAGGAAGCAGGUUAGACUUCCUGAAGGCAAGAAUUUGACUAAAAGAGAAAAAUAUCAACAGCUGAAUUAUUUUUAUUUUUGGUCUGCUACUACUGCAUAAGAAUGCUAUGUCUUUUUAUUAUCACCAUUUGAUGAGGCUUUUUAAGUUAUAAAAAUAGAAAUUCUUUUUAAAACCAUCACUGAAAGUAUACUUGCUUUAGAGAUUAAAAAGUUGAGGGAGGCAUUUGCUUUAGAUAAGGUAAGAAACACAUCUAGUAUUGCCUAAUCUCACUGUUUUUAGCCUAGGCAAUAGGUAUUGUUAAUAGAAACACUUUUUAAACACUUAGAUGAUUAAUUCCUUGCUAAAGGAAAACUAGCUUAAAAUUCAACAUAAUAUUAAAAUAAUUUAUUUUUUUAAAUGUUAUUUUUAGCCAGGUGCAGUGGUGUACAUCUGUAAUCCCAGCUACUCUGAAGGCUGAGGCCAGAAGACUGCAAAUUCGAGGUCAGCCUCAGCAAUUUAACAAGACCCAGUGUUAUGGUUUGAAUGUGAGGUAUCCCCCAAAAGCUCACAUGUGAGACAAUGCAAGAAGAUUCAGAGAGAAGUUAUGGGGUUGUGAGUGAAUUAACCCCCUGAUAGGGAUUAACUGAGUGGGAACUGAAGUGGUAGGGUGUGACUGGAGGAAGUGGGAAGUGGAGGUGUGAUUUGGGGGUAUAUAUUUGUUUCAGGCAAGUGGGGACCUCUCUCUGCUUCCUGAUCAUAAUAUGAAGUGCUUCCUUCCACCAUACUCUUCCACCAUGAUAUUCUGCCUCACCUUAAACCUUGAGUUUAUGGAUUGAGACCUCUGAAAACCAUGAACCCUCAAAUAAACUUUUCUUCCUGUAUGGUUGUUCUGGUCAGAUCCUUCAGUCACAGCAGCAAAAAUGCUGUCUAAAACAUCCUGUAUCUAAAUAAAGGAUUUUGGAAAAGGUCUAGGGGUAUAGCUCAUUGGUAAAGAGACCCUGGGUUCAAUUGCCAGUACUGGGGGGAAAAAAAGCAAGAAAGAAAGUUAAAUUUUUAGCAAAAUUGUAUUAUGAAUAUGUAGAUGUAUAUACUAUAUAUAAUAUACACAUUUAUAUGUAUUUAUUAUAUACUAUAUACAUUUAUAUGUAUUUAAAUAUUGUUUCAGGAUCUAGUGAGUAAAAUUUGUAAAAUACCAAUUUUGUUUCAUUUUAAAUUUUAAAUUAAUGUUGUGAAUGUAGAAAACUGCAGUCUUUAUAUAGUAACAAAAAAUGUAUAUAAAACUGAUUUUAAGUACUAUGUAGGAAACCAGAUGAAUUUAUUAUUUGAGAUGGAGGAGUUAGAUGAGUGGGCCACAGUUUAAUGGUGCCAAUAUUAAAUAAUACUGUUCACUCACUUCUGAAAAUCUGAAAUUUUGGCCAGACUACUUGUCACUGACAUCACUGCUUAUAAGAAUUAGAUAAUUAUGCUUUAGAUCCUUACUGAUAUAAUUUUGAACUGCAUCUAAGAAUAUCAUGUUUCAGUGACUCUAAGUGGAAGACCUCAGGUCUAAGACUCCCAAAUUUUGUCAGAGAUCUACUUUGCUAAAGUUUCACUGUAUUCAAGGAAACAAAUAAAGCUGAUUCUCAAGUAUAAUUGUUU
rnacentral:lncRNA from 1 species